rnacentral:rRNA from 1 species
GGGUUGUGAGGUUAAGCGACUAAGCGUACACGGUGGAUGCCCUGGCAGUCAGAGGCGAUGAAGGACGUGCUAAUCUGCGAUAAGCGUCGGUAAGGUGAUAUGAACCGUUAUAACCGGCGAUUUCCGAAUGGGGAAACCCAGUGUGUUUCGACACACUAUCAUUAACUGAAUCCAUAGGUUAAUGAGGCGAACCGGGGGAACUGAAACAUCUAAGUACCCCGAGGAAAAGAAAUCAACCGAGAUUCCCCCAGUAGCGGCGAGCGAACGGGGAGCAGCCCAGAGCCUGAAUCAGUGUGUGUGUUAGUGGAAGCGUCUGGAAAGGCGCGCGAUACAGGGUGACAGCCCCGUACACAAAAAUGCACAUACUGUGAGCUCGAUGAGUAGGGCGGGACACGUGGUAUCCUGUCUGAAUAUGGGGGGACCAUCCUCCAAGGCUAAAUACUCCUGACUGACCGAUAGUGAACCAGUACCGUGAGGGAAAGGCGAAAAGAACCCCGGCGAGGGGAGUGAAAAAGAACCUGAAACCGUGUACGUACAAGCAGUGGGAGCCUCUUAAUGGGGUGACUGCGUACCUUUUGUAUAAUGGGUCAGCGACUUAUAUUCUGUAGCAAGGUUAACCGAAUAGGGGAGCCGAAGGGAAACCGAGUCUUAACUGGGCGUUAAGUUGCAGGGUAUAGACCCGAAACCCGGUGAUCUAGCCAUGGGCAGGUUGAAGGUUGGGUAACACUAACUGGAGGACCGAACCGACUAAUGUUGAAAAAUUAGCGGAUGACUUGUGGCUGGGGGUGAAAGGCCAAUCAAACCGGGAGAUAGCUGGUUCUCCCCGAAAGCUAUUUAGGUAGCGCCUCGUGAAUUCAUCUCCGGGGGUAGAGCACUGUUUCGGCAAGGGGGUCAUCCCGACUUACCAACCCGAUGCAAACUGCGAAUACCGGAGAAUGUUAUCACGGGAGACACACGGCGGGUGCUAACGUCCGUCGUGAAGAGGGAAACAACCCAGACCGCCAGCUAAGGUCCCAAAGUCAUGGUUAAGUGGGAAACGAUGUGGGAAGGCCCAGACAGCCAGGAUGUUGGCUUAGAAGCAGCCAUCAUUUAAAGAAAGCGUAAUAGCUCACUGGUCGAGUCGGCCUGCGCGGAAGAUGUAACGGGGCUAAACCAUGCACCGAAGCUGCGGCAGCGACACUAUGUGUUGUUGGGUAGGGGAGCGUUCUGUAAGCCUGUGAAGGUGUACUGUGAGGUAUGCUGGAGGUAUCAGAAGUGCGAAUGCUGACAUAAGUAACGAUAAAGCGGGUGAAAAGCCCGCUCGCCGGAAGACCAAGGGUUCCUGUCCAACGUUAAUCGGGGCAGGGUGAGUCGACCCCUAAGGCGAGGCCGAAAGGCGUAGUCGAUGGGAAACAGGUUAAUAUUCCUGUACUUGGUGUUACUGCGAAGGGGGGACGGAGAAGGCUAUGUUGGCCGGGCGACGGUUGUCCCGGUUUAAGCGUGUAGGCUGGUUUUCCAGGCAAAUCCGGAAAAUCAAGGCUGAGGCGUGAUGACGAGGCACUACGGUGCUGAAGCAACAAAUGCCCUGCUUCCAGGAAAAGCCUCUAAGCAUCAGGUAACAUCAAAUCGUACCCCAAACCGACACAGGUGGUCAGGUAGAGAAUACCAAGGCGCUUGAGAGAACUCGGGUGAAGGAACUAGGCAAAAUGGUGCCGUAACUUCGGGAGAAGGCACGCUGAUAUGUAGGUGAAGUCCCUUGCGGAUGGAGCUGAAAUCAGUCGAAGAUACCAGCUGGCUGCAACUGUUUAUUAAAAACACAGCACUGUGCAAACACGAAAGUGGACGUAUACGGUGUGACGCCUGCCCGGUGCCGGAAGGUUAAUUGAUGGGGUUAGCGGUAACGCGAAGCUCUUGAUCGAAGCCCCGGUAAACGGCGGCCGUAACUAUAACGGUCCUAAGGUAGCGAAAUUCCUUGUCGGGUAAGUUCCGACCUGCACGAAUGGCGUAAUGAUGGCCAGGCUGUCUCCACCCGAGACUCAGUGAAAUUGAACUCGCUGUGAAGAUGCAGUGUACCCGCGGCAAGACGGAAAGACCCCGUGAACCUUUACUAUAGCUUGACACUGAACAUUGAGCCUUGAUGUGUAGGAUAGGUGGGAGGCUUUGAAGUGUGGACGCCAGUCUGCAUGGAGCCGGCCUUGAAAUACCACCCUUUAAUGUUUGAUGUUCUAACGUUGGCCCCUGAUCGGGGUUGCGGACAGUGUCUGGUGGGUAGUUUGACUGGGGCGGUCUCCUCCUAAAGAGUAACGGAGGAGCACGAAGGUUGGCUAAUCCUGGUCGGACAUCAGGAGGUUAGUGCAAUGGCAUAAGCCAGCUUGACUGCGAGCGUGACGGCGCGAGCAGGUGCGAAAGCAGGUCAUAGUGAUCCGGUGGUUCUGAAUGGAAGGGCCAUCGCUCAACGGAUAAAAGGUACUCCGGGGAUAACAGGCUGAUACCGCCCAAGAGUUCAUAUCGACGGCGGUGUUUGGCACCUCGAUGUCGGCUCAUCACAUCCUGGGGCUGAAGUAGGUCCCAAGGGUAUGGCUGUUCGCCAUUUAAAGUGGUACGCGAGCUGGGUUUAGAACGUCGUGAGACAGUUCGGUCCCUAUCUGCCGUGGGCGCUGGAGAACUGAGGGGGGCUGCUCCUAGUACGAGAGGACCGGAGUGGACGCAUCACUGGUGUUCGGGUUGUCAUGCCAAUGGCACUGCCCGGUAGCUAAAUGCGGAAGAGAUAAGUGCUGAAAGCAUCUAAGCACGAAACUUGCCCCGAGAUGAGUUCUCCCUGACUC